rnacentral:rRNA from 1 species
CGCUCAGAUUGAACGCUGGCGGCAGGCCUAACACAUGCAAGUCGAGCGGUAGCACAGAAGAGCUUGCUCUUUGGGUGACGAGCGGCGGACGGGUGAGUAAUGUCUGGGAAACUGCCUGAUGGAGGGGGAUAACUACUGGAAACGGUAGCUAAUACCGCAUAACCUCGCAAGAGCAAAGAGGGGGACCUUCGGGCCUCUCGCCAUCAGAUGUGCCCAGAUGGGAUUAGCUAGUAGGUGAGGUAAUGGCUCACCUAGGCGACGAUCCCUAGCUGGUCUGAGAGGAUGACCAGCCACACUGGAACUGAGACACGGUCCAGACUCCUACGGGAGGCAGCAGUGGGGAAUAUUGCACAAUGGGCGCAAGCCUGAUGCAGCCAUGCCGCGUGUGUGAAGAAGGCCUUCGGGUUGUAAAGCACUUUCAGCGAGGAGGAAGGCGGUAAGGUUAAUAACCUUAUCGAUUGACGUUACUCGCAGAAGAAGCACCGGCUAACUCCGUGCCAGCAGCCGCGGUAAUACGGAGGGUGCAAGCGUUAAUCGGAAUGACUGGGCGUAAAGCGCACGCAGGCGGUCUGUUAAGUUGGAUGUGAAAUCCCCGGGCUUAACCUGGGAACUGCAUUCAAAACUGACAGGCUAGAGUCUUGUAGAGGGGGGUAGAAUUCCAGGUGUAGCGGUGAAAUGCGUAGAGAUCUGGAGGAAUACCGGUGGCGAAGGCGGCCCCCUGGACAAAGACUGACGCUCAGGUGCGAAAGCGUGGGGAGCAAACAGGAUUAGAUACCCUGGUAGUCCACGCUGUAAACGAUGUCGAUUUGGAGGUUGUGCCCUUGAGGCGUGGCUUCCGGAGCUAACGCGUUAAAUCGACCGCCUGGGGAGUACGGCCGCAAGGUUAAAACUCAAAUGAAUUGACGGGGGCCCGCACAAGCGGUGGAGCAUGUGGUUUAAUUCGAUGCAACGCGAAGAACCUUACCUACUCUUGACAUCCAGAGAAUUAGCUAGAGAUAGCUGAGUGCCUUCGGGAACUCUGAGACAGGUGCUGCAUGGCUGUCGUCAGCUCGUGUUGUGAAAUGUUGGGUUAAGUCCCGCAACGAGCGCAACCCUUAUCCUUUGUUGCCAGCGAUUCGGUCGGGAACUCAAAGGAGACUGCCGGUGAUAAACCGGAGGAAGGUGGGGAUGACGUCAAGUCAUCAUGGCCCUUACGAGUAGGGCUACACACGUGCUACAAUGGCGUAUACAAAGAGAAGCGACCUCGCGAGAGCAAGCGGACCUCAUAAAGUACGUCGUAGUCCGGAUUGGAGUCUGCAACUCGACUCCAUGAAGUCGGAAUCGCUAGUAAUCGUAGAUCAGAAUGCUACGGUGAAUACGUUCCCGGGCCUUGUACACACCGCCCGUCACACCAUGGGAGUGGGUUGCAAAAGAAGUAGGUAGCUUAACCUUCGGGAGGGCGCUUACCACUUUGUGAUUCAUGACUGGGGUGAAGUCGUAACAAGGUAACCGUAGGGGAACCUGCGGCUGGACC